UUCAGAUUAUAAUGGAUUUGUUCCACUCGACGACUCCAGCUGUAAAACCCCAUUAAAAAGAAAAGAAAAGAAAUAAAAUAAAAACACCCCAUUUUUUACGCUCAUGCGCAUCCAACCGUUGAUUUAUCACUACCUACUCAUAUUUGAACCGUAGAUGAUCCCACAGCCUACGAUAAAUAUCCCUGCAGCUCCGCGUCAGAGGUGUAUCUUCGUUGUUUCCUCCAAGCCGCUACUUCCUUUUGCAUCUUUUUUGUAGGUUUUGAUCGUGAGUUAGUCUUUCGAUUUGGUUAUGGGUAUUCAGCGUUUGGCUUCUCCCUUUGUUCUAUGCUGCUUGCUUUUCCUUUCGGCUGAACGUCGGUGGAUUUUCAGCCUCGGUUACCAAUCGAUGAAGAUUGGAUUAAUUUGCAGCUGAUCUAACCGUUUGAAUUUCCGAUUGGCUAUGUUUUGUUCGAUUCUCUACAUAGAUGUAGCUUGGAUAGAUCUAUUACAGUAUUAAGCUGAUUUCGUAGAUCCGCGCAUGGUUUCCAUCUCAUCCAUGCUCAGGCCACGGGUGGCUUCCAGAUCUGAAGAUCUCUUGGAUGUUAUUCAUCGUCUCAAAAACUGGUAAAACUUCAUGGGUUAAACAACAAAAAGAGUUCGCUAUUGUAUAAUGAAAUUGUUGGUAGUAUUGUCGUGGUAUGUAAAAAAAUGAGUGGAGUGAUGUGUGCGACACUGAGAAAAAAAGAGCGAGAUUGAGGUGAGGUGAGCUGAUCGACCUUUACCAUGUUGGGUGCGCUCGCAUGGUAGGUCACCACAUAAUAAAAGUUCGUUUUUGUUUUUCGAGGGGAGAUGGUACGGUGAUUUAUCCGGCUCUCCCCUCUUGUGUGCGGUGUCCUUUGUUCGUUUUCGUUUUUCCUUAUUCCUGUCGCCAACAUCUAGUUCAGCAGCAAACAGUUUGGGUUUUGAAUGGGCACUUUUCGAGCCAUUCAUUCAAGAUCCAAACAUGAUUCUAAUCGACGCAAAUGAACUUCCCCGAGGGGCUGGGGACGAUGAACGCACCUAAGGUACAAGUUAGCACUCUAUAACAUCUCUAUGCUAAUAUUCCACUAAUUUUCUCUUUAAUUUACCCAGUAAUUUGGCAAUAUUAUUUUUAAACCUAAGGUACAAUUAGAUAUGGCAUCUCUAUGUUACUAACAUUCCAUCAAUCUUGUCUUCAAUUUAUUCAUCGCCCAUGAACUUGUCUUGUUAAAAUUAUUCAAUCAGAGUUGAGCUGAUUAACAUUCUUGAUAUUUAAUCUCACCCGAGGGCAUUUAAUUUCCAAAUUCUAUUCAAGUUUUAUUUGGAUUCCACCACACCCACGCACUUGAAAGCAUGACAGCUCGUGCACUACAACAAUAAGCACAACACCCACAAAAAUCAUAGCACUACAUGCUCAUGCUUGCAGUACCUUCUGGCACUCUAUAUCUUAAUUAUUAACCAUUAAAGAUCUUUUUUUCUUCACUGGUCCUAGCUUAGUUUUAAUGGUAUGUUUCAUGUUUUAUAAGCGGCUGUCUGGUUUAUCUACAAGGUUAUCUGUUUUGAACAGUAUGGUUUGGCUCUUCUUUAGCUUUUAUGUUUUAUUCAAUUAUGUCAGUAGUUGUGUUGACCUGUUGGUUUACCUUUGUAGUUUUGUAUUUUAGAGCAUCUUACUCUGAGUCAAUGUAGAUGUUGUUGUAGGGCUUGUGUUAUGAAGGCACCGCUUUGUACUUUUGUAAUGUAUUAGCUAUCUGGUUGUGAACCAUAUUGCUUUCAAGGUGCCUGCUGUUUGUUAGAGAUAGUGAAGCGGAUGAAGUUGAAGUGGUUGGGUUUGUUUUUCCCCAAGCAAGAUUAUUAAUGCUGUGCUGGUGGUGCUGAGGUGCCUUUGUUAGUGUUGAGUCUUUGGCCAAUGCAGUUUGCAGACUUGUGUUACAGCCUACAGGGCAGCUGCUGAGCAUGCUUGUGCUACAAAGUUGUUUCCUGAACUAUGGAACACAUCAAUGUUUACUGGUUGUGCGUUCCAGAUGAUGAAGAUGCGCCGAUUAUGUGUUGUCCAGAUCAUGAAGAUGUGUUGACGGUUGCUCUAGACUGUGAGAUUGUUUGGAAACUCGAGUUUUUAUUGAUUUCUUAACUUAGCCAUGUGUCAUUUAGUUGAACAAAAAUCUUUUCAACAGCUCGGAUGGCAUUUAAGUUUUCCUCUUGUUGACUAGCUGAGAAUCUAAUGUUUUCAGGCAAUUUUGUUCCUCGUCCUGAAACACAGUUCAGCUGGAAACCUAAUGUGAAUGAUGAUGAUGGUUUGAGGGAAUACCGCAAUCCGCUCGGUGGUAUCUUCUCCGUUGGUAUUUUGUUAAAUGAAUCCAGUAUUUUAAGAUUUUUCCUCA